GACAGAGGGUGCAAACGUUGUUCGGAAUUACUGGGCGUAAAGCGCGUGUAGGCGGCUUUGCAAGUCGGAUGUGAAAGCCCUCGGCUCAACCGGGGAAGUGCACCCGAAACUGCAAAGCUAGAGUCUCGGAGAGGAUCGUGGAAUUCUCGGUGUAGAGGUGAAAUUCGUAGAUAUCGAGAGGAACACCGGUGGCGAAGGCGGCGAUCUGGACGAUGA
rnacentral:rRNA from 1 species